rnacentral:rRNA from 1 species
GAUGAACGCUGGCGGCGUGCCUAAUACAUGCAAGUCGAGCGAACAGACGAGGAGCUUGCUCCUCUGACGUUAGCGGCGGACGGGUGAGUAACACGUGGAUAACCUACCUAUAAGACUGGGAUAACUUCGGGAAACCGGAGCUAAUACCGGAUAACAUGUUGAACCGCAUGGUUUAACAGUGAAAGACGGUCUUGCUGUCACUUAUAGAUGGAUCCGCGCCGCAUUAGCUAGUUGGUAAGGUAACGGCUUACCAAGGCAACGAUGCGUAGCCGACCUGAGAGGGUUAUCGGCCAAACUGGAACUGAGACACGGUCCAGACUCCUACGGGAGGCAGCAGUAGGGAAUCUUUCGGAAUGGGCGGAAGCCUGACGGGACAACGCCGCGUGAGUGAAGAAGGUCUUCGGAUCGUAAAACUCUGUUAUUAGGGAAGAACAAAUUUUUAAGUAACUAUGCACGUCUUGACCGUACCUAAUCAGAAAACCACCGCUAACUUCGUG